GGGGACAACGUGCAUAGUAGCGUAGUAUAUAAGGUGGAGAAGGACAAACAUUGGUAGGCGUUUUCGCAAUACUUCAUGAGAAAAAGACGCUCCAAUGGCAAACAACGCGACUGAAGAUCUCAGGUUGUAAAGGCAUGGAUUUAAGUAGGGUGCUGGUAGUAGUGUUGAGCAUGAUUGCCUCUGAACUGUCUCACAUUCACGCUAGACCAAUUGACUUUGUGUGUGACAGUGAGGCCAGAAGAGUCAUGAACAAGGUUAAGGACUUAGAAGAGGAGAUGGUAGACUGCAGUGCUGUAGCUUCUCUACCCUCUUCUAUUCAAUUACCAUGCAUCAGGAUUCACAAAGCAACCUGGGAGAAGAAAUCAGUGCAUGAGCGGAGAGCUGAGAUCCUGCUGUCUUUGUGGACUCUAGCGCAGGAUGUGCGGUCUGCCAGGACACUCAGCCAUCCUGGCUGUGCGCUCACUCUGUUGGAGCGCUUAGAACACAGUAUCAACAACUACCUGCAUGUAGUGAAACUACUCUACAACGAGGUGAGGAUGAGCAGUUCAAGCUUGUGCUGCUUCACAGAUAGAUAUUGGCAAAAAUAUUGGUUAAACUUUAUACAGAUUGAUUGUGGGCUGCUUGUGUUAACAAGGAACUUACUCACUAAAAUAAAGAUGAGAAACUGAUUCCAAACUGCAAAACUUGUAAUUAAAAAAACAGAAUAAGGCCGUAUAAUUUACCACAGGCCUGACAACAAUAUCAUACUCCAAAAUAGUAAAAAUGCACACAAAUUAGCACUUGUUAUUCUUACAGAGUGAAAUUUCACUAAACAUUACAAUGAGCUUAUUGCAAGAGUUCAAACUUACUGAUUUAACCUCUUUAACUCUGCUCACCCGCUGACGGAUCCAAAAGGGGGCGCUAUGCCACGGAAACAUUUUACGCUUAAAAUGUUCAAGUCUACAAAUACAUAAGUCAGACAUAUGUCAUCAUCUGAAAGCUUAGAAUCUGAACUUUUCAUUGAUAACAUCAUGUCUGCAUUUAUGUUACAUAAAAGAACAAAAUAAGGCCUGAAAACAUUUGCGUCGCAAAUCAGCGCCACCUAGAGGUCAUGUGGUAGACAUAUUAAUAUGAAUAUUAGUCUUUCAAAUAGCAUGUAAUUAGAAAAAUAUCUAGCUUCCAGUCCACUCAGAGGCCAAUAUAUUCAAUAAAACAAUGGAGGUGGUGCAUGAAAUGAAAAUUAGACUGAAUGUCUAUGGAUGAGCACAUCUGUGAUAAAAAGCAUUAUAGCGCCACCUACAUCUCAGAUCCGAAUUAGAGGAAAAAACUUUUCUAGUACUUGCUGUCAUCUAGUGGAAUAAAAUAAGACUUUUUUGGAGGGAGAUGCAGUGAACAGAACCAGCAUUCCAUGCUUACAAAUUAGGACAACAACAACAAUAAAAAAAAUUAGACACAUUUUUGGCAAUUAGUCCACAGUAUGUGUAAAUGGUGAGCUUUUUAAUUUGAGUGUGAAAAACUGCAGGCGGCAGCCCAAAAAUGCCCCAGAGUUAAAGAGGUUAAUAUAGUAUAGCACAAAUAUUCUAGAUUGUAUAACACGUUAAAAGUGUGGGGUAUAAUUCCUUAUUGUUUAAAACAAAUGUACUUUCUUUAAGAAUAUGAAUUAAAAAUAACUGGCUUACAAAAUAAAUUUAGAAUAACUUCCAUUAUAAUUUAAUGCAAUUCUUCAUUCGUUUCCCAUAUUUGAGGGACCACGUAGUGUUCAAGAAAAUAUCCUGCCUUCCCGGAAUCUUUGUUUAUUUCAUCUUGGAGACUCUGACUCCAGUUGACCUCUGCCUUCCUUCCCUAGGAAAGAAAGGGAGAUUGAGACACAUACUUGACCAGUGAGGAGAAUGGGAACAUAGUGCUAUCUGAAGUGCUUUAUAGCCAUGCCCCACUGAUAAAAUAUACAUACUGCCACUCUUACAAUCAAGCACGUACUGUGCUGAGUUGAGGCUAACUUUUACUCUUUUUGUGAAUAACUACUUUAUUUCAGUCAUAACAACUAUCGGAAUAAAUUUAAAUAAAUAGAACUUGGCAGACUAGAUCUGUUUAUGCUACAGCAGAACAAGUACGAAGACUUUCUUCUGCUAGAGACAUCCAUCUAGACAGGUGGUGCUGAGGAGGAGGAUGGUGCCAGACAGAGAUUCGUCCAAAUCUGAGAAGCAUCCUUAAAGCCGACAUCAUGACAGCUUCUUCCCCCAAGCAAUCAGACUUUUGAACUCUUGAUCUCUCACGAUCAAAAUACAUCAGCACUGCACUUUAUUAAUCUUAUUAUCUCACACCGGACUGUCAUAAAUUAUAUUCUCUUAACAACACACUGGCAACUUACUAUCAACCGACAGCCUGAAUGUCAAUACAGCAGUACAAUACAACCUAUUGUAUAUUUUAUAUAUACUAUAUAUACUAUUUUUAGAUAUAUAUUACUAUUUUUUUUAUUGUAUAAUGUGUAUCUAUAUUGUGUGUAUUGUAUACUGUACAUUGUAAGUUAUUAUUUGUAUAUUGUGUUGUGUGUAAUUAUGUGUAUAUUAGAUUUUAAAUAGUGUUGUGUAAAUCUGAUGUUUAUUGUAAAUUGGUAUAUGUCUCAUCACUGUCACGACUGCUAUGUUGCUCGGAACUGCACCCAAGAAUUUCACACACUAUUGCACUUGUGUAUAUGGUUGUGUGACAAUAAAAGUGAUUUGAUUUGAUUUGAUUAAAGUGAUAGUUCAGCCUUUAAUUAAUAUUAUAUCAUCAUUUCCCUGCCCUCAUGUUCUUCCAACCCAGUGAAACUUUCUGCAUUCUGUGGAACCCAAAAGAUGUUAGACAGAAUGUUAGAGACUGACAGUCUCAGUCACCAUUCCCUUUCAAAAUAUGGAGGGGAAAAAACAUGCAGUGAAAGUAAAUGAUGAUUAAGGCUAGCAUUCUGUCUAAAAUCUCCUUAAAGGAAUAGUUAA